GAAAGAAAAUGAAGCUGUGCGAAAUGAAUACAAAAUUAGGGAAAAUAAUUUCACCAAUGUUUACUUUUAUUCUCCUUUUAUAGCAAACUUGCCCAAGUUUAAUCGCAAUGGAGAAGUAGAGAAGAAAUGAAUAACUAUAUGUUAGAUCAAUGAGAUAAAUUUAUAGGUUAUACGUUUAAUAAAAAUGUGUUCGUGAAACGUAUGGUAAACGUAAUGUCCGAGAAAAUUCCAACGCCAGUGAAGGAAUAACGAGCAAGAGUUUUCGUUGCAGGCGCAACGUGCUGGUCGUAGCCACGCGUUUUAUCGCCUGGCGAUCAACCGACACGCAAGAAGGAAAAGCUUCGUGGUAGAAUAUCGGAGAAAAGCAAAAAAAAAAAAAAAAGAAAGGAAAAGAGGGAACGAACGGAUAGACGUACAGAGUGGUAAAGGCAAAAGGAAGCAGUGGCAGCGCGAAGAAUGUCAUAGCUAGUUGUUUCUGACCGAGGGGGGAGGCUGACACCUUCGUGAUGGAUGAUCGUCGACCGUCCGCUAAAGCUGCCGUUGCUGCUGCUGACGCGGCCGCCGUCGGAAUGGCUGUUGCUGCUAUUGCUUCUGUUGCUGAUGCAAUGCUGGUUUCACAAAAAAAGAUGAGACUGAAAGAAUGUCGACAGGGACUCGAUAAGGGAGUGUAAAGGGUUAAAUAAUAUCUGCAGUCGCUGGUCCGUGAGAAACCUGGUGGAAAAUAGUUGAAAUUCCAGAGAAAACAAUUGAAACGAAGGUAAUAUUUCUAUCGCAACAGACGCUACACAAGAAAAUCUCCAGCCUCUGAGAAGUCGUCUUAUAUCUUGGAAAGCACCCCGGUUUCCUCCACAAUUUCUCCAUUAUGGAGGAUGGCUUUGGUACACCAUCAGCUUGGUAACUUAAUCCCGGAGAAGUUAGAAGAAAGAUGACAGUACGAUGGAGCUGAAGAGGAGAGAAAUUGGCCCGAGGGUCUCCCGCUGAGAAACAAAUUUUUCCGCGAGCAAGUAGGUGCAAAGUACAGUAAGCUCGGCAGCAUUCAGCGGACCCGGGGAUGUAGAGGCGGUAGCACUCGAUGCUGUGCCGCUGGGAGCGUGCUAAUGGCUACUGACACACAGUUUUGAUGGAUCGGCCACGGCUCUUCCUCCUAUCCCGCACUCCGCCGCAACGAAAUAUGCGAGUCUAGCGAUACGCCGACGUUUCACGAUGAGAGGAAAUGCACUGACAAACAGGAAGACGAGCUGGAAAUGUUAUUGCGUUUCGUACGAACCGCAAUCCUGCUGAUGAUCAAUAUCUGGGUCAGCUAACGAAAAACAUUCGUUGAGAUACUAUUUUCAUGAAAUCCUUUGCGUUACACUGUGUUUCUUCAGUUACAUUUUUGGUGAAAGUUGUAGUCCAAGUAAGAGAACCACCAAUAUCCUGUGUGACAGACGUUGAUAUCGUUUCACAAACUGUACAACGCUUGUUACGCUUACAUUUUGUACACAAAUUUUCCUGAGAAACACAUUGAGAAUAUAUAUAUGUGAAUUGAAAUGUAUGAAUAGGUUAGGAGAAAUAUAAAUGAACAAAUAUUAUACAAAGUACAUUAUCGCUAAGUGAUUUUCUUCAUUCCAACGAUUGGUCACAUUGCAAUGACAAUAGAACUGCAUUUAUCUGAACUGAUCGAAACAGUAUAUUUGUAUACCUGGAGUUCACAUGUAAAAUAUAGCAUUGGCUAUGGUUGGCAGCUAAGUGAUUGUGGAUUCUGUCAAUAGAUGGUCUUAGCACAGUCUUUUGUUUUGUAAACGUGUUCAAAGCACCUAACCUAUAUUGUUUUCUUGAUGUUUGGACUGCCACCUUUAAUUUAGCAAAAAAAUUGUAUCGAUUAGUUGUUUGGUUUCGUUUUUAUCCCAAUUUAAAUAUGCAAGAACAAGACGAGCAUUUCAGACAUAUUUUAUUGUAUUAUUUCCGAAAAGGUAAGAACGCAUCGCAAGCACACAACGAGUUACGUGCCGUAUAUGGGAAUGAAGCGUUGAAAGCGUUGGUUUGCCAAAUUAUCAGAUAUUCAGAUUCAGAUCGUCAUAGCGCCACGCGUGAGAUUGCAGUGAAGCUCAAUGUAUCGCGUACAUGCAUUAAAAAAAAAAUUAAAACAGCUUGGCUAUGUCAAGAAACUCGAUUUAUGGUUCCCUCAUCAGCUUAAGGAUAUUCAUUUGACGCAACGCAUUAGCAUCGGCGACUCGCUUCUGAAACGCAACGAAAUUGAUCCGUUUCUGAAACGUCUGAUUACUGGCGACCAAAAGUGGAUUGUUUAUGACAACGUUAAUCGGAAAAGAUCGUGGCUGAUGCAAGAUGAACCAGCCCAGAUGACACCAAAAGUUGAGAUUCACGAAAAAAAGGUUAUACUGUUAGUUUGAUGGGGUUAUAAAGGAAUUCUGUACUUUGAACUUUUAUCAAGAAACCAAACGAUUAAUUGAAACGUGUACGUUCAACGACUCGUCAAACUGAGCGACGCAGUUCGAGAAAAGCGGCCGGAAUUGGCAAAUCGUAAGGGUGUUGUUUUCCAUCAUGAUAAUGCAACGUCUCACACGUCUUUGGUCACUCGCCAAAAAUUAUUGGAACCAGAUUGGUAUGUGUUGUCAUAUCCACAUAAUUCAGUUGUUUGCUGGCAAAAAUCAAAAGUUUUAUGGACAUGGAAUUACGACACUGCCUGAAAGAUGGCAAAAGAUGAUCGACAAAAACGGACAAUACCUAAUUGAAUAAAGUUAUAUUUUUAAGCAGAAAUUUGUAAUUUUCCUUCUUAUUUAAAAUACGCAAUCACUUAGUUGCCAACCAUAUAUGCUAGACACGUUCACAUAAGUAGAUUCAGUCAGUAGAAAUCCAUGUAAUCAGAUACUAACUAAAAUUCCCUAGGUAUAAAUAGACUGCAGAUAAACGAACUGUACAUUAUCAUGAAUAAACGUUUUAUGGAUCAUUAGUCUUCUCGGAAAUAUCAUUACGUUGCUAGAAAAACACCUGACGAGACAAGCAUAGCAGAUCACUUUUCUCAAACAAAUUACUGAAAGAACGUCAAUGGCCAACAAGUAGGUCCAGCGUAUCAACGAUCGUUUAUAGUUUCCAACGAACGACACGAGCAUCGGGACUGGCUAUCGUGAGCUAGUGAUGCAUAAAAAUAAUAAGAAGAGAAGGAGCGUGACGAUUUCUCGACGAGAAGAAGAAGGAGCGAAGCGACGGGUCUCGGAACCGCGAUACGUAGAUACGCGAGGAAACGGAUAGAUACUAAUUGGGCAAAGGAAACGAGACGAAAGUACUCGAGAGGAACAGAGAGGGGGCGAGAAAAAGAAAAUGAAAGAGGAGGAGACAGCGACGGCGGCAGACGCGACGGCGACACGGGCAUCCGCUCGCGUUGUUCGCGGUGACGCAUCUGUCCCCAAGGAUACACCCCUGGUCCCGAGGCCUACAGACGUCCAACGUUCAGAAAUUCCCAUUGACAACCUGUUCACCUCCGCUCGACGACGUGUUCACCGCCACAAAGUAUUCCAUAGAACUGCCACGACACCGAUACCUUCAGUCGAGGACUUCCUGGGACCAUCUUCGGUGCUCACUUUGCCUUCGAGGUUAGAAAACGAGAGCAACAACUGUAGGACCUUGGUACGGUAUACGAGAAUAGGAUAAAGAUUUCUGAGAAUCCUGCCGAGGCUUUUCUUGGCUUCUGUGCGAUGCGUUAAAUUCUGUAGAAUUCUAUCGAAGGCAUCGAUGCAGAAACACGUUUCUAAUUUGGACAGUUUUACGUGGACUUGUCUACUAGUUGAUUUGGCGAGAGCAUGUGCGGUUGUGUUAGACUUUGAAGUAUUUAAAAGAAAGUCAUUAGAAGUUUGUUUGAUUCCAAAUACGAAAGUUUUAUAGUGUUUGCUGAAGUUUCAGUUACAUUAUAUUUAUCGAGACUAAUUUUAAGAAAAGAAUCAGAUGAACAAUACCAAUUUUUCUUUUUUUUUAUUUUUUGCUGAUAUACAGAGUGGGUUACAAAGUAUUAUCAAAUUGAUAUAUAAACUUUUGU